rnacentral:lncRNA from 1 species
GGGGGGAGAGUGCGAAUGGGGAGAGAGAGAAAGGGGGAGUAAAUGAGGGUAGGGGGAAGAUCACCUUUUAGUUCUCAUAAGCAUCUCUUGUGUUGCUUAUGGACUAAAAAUAGGCAAUCCCAUAAGCAACCCAAUAAGCAAGGGUGAUUGGUUUCAUAAGCAAAUAAGUUGCUUAUUUUAAGUUGCUUAUGCAUAAGCAACUCAAACCAAACAGGGUCUAAAAUAGUUAUUUACAUACGAAUUAGUGAACACAUUAUUUUGUUACGAGCAAUUUGCAUUUAAA